rnacentral:rRNA from 1 species
UACGUAGGGGCAAGCGUUGUCCGGAUUAUUGGGCGUAAAGAGCGUGUAGGCGGCCAUACAGGUCAGCUGUGAAAACUCGAGGCUCAACCUCGAGACGUCGGUUGAAACCGUAUGGCUAGAGUCCGGAAGAGGAGAGUGGAAUUCCCGGGUGUAGCGGUGAAAUGCGCAGACUAUCGGGAAGAACACCCGUGGCGAAGGCGGCUCUCUGGGACGGUACUGGACGCUGAGACGCGAAAGCGUGGGGAGCGAACGAGG